rnacentral:rRNA from 1 species
CAAGUCGAACGCGAAAGUUCCCUUCGGGGAACAAGUAGAGUGGCGCACGGGUGAGUAACACGUAGGUAAUCUACCUUCGGAUGGGGAAUAACAACCGGAAACGGUUGCUAAUACCGCAUAAUGCAGCGGCACCUAAUGGUGACAGUUGUUAAAGCGGGGGAUCGCAAGACCUCGCGUCUGAAGAGGAGCCUGCGGCGGAUUAGCUUGUUGGUGAGGUAAAAGCUCACCAAGGCGAUGAUCCGUAGCCGGCCUGAGAGGGCGGUCGGCCACACUGACACUGACAUACGGGUCAGACUCCUACGGGAGGCAGCAGUCGGGAAUUUUGGGCAAUGGGCGAAAGCCUGACCCAGCAACGCCGCGUGAAGGAUGAAAUCCCUCGGGAUGUAAACUUCGCAAGAACGGGAAGAAUAAGCGAAAGUUAAUAUCUUUCGUGAUGACGGUACCGUUUGUAAGCUCCGGCUAACUCCGUGCCAGCAGCCGCGGUAAUACGGGGGGAGCAAGCGUUGUUCGGAUUUACUGGGCGUAAAGGGCGCGUAGGCGGCCACCGCAAGUCGAUUGUGAAAUCUCCGGGCUUAACCCGGAAAGGUCAACCGAUACUGCGGGGCUAGAGUGCGGAAGGGGCAACUGGAAUUCUUGGUGUAGCGGUGAAAUGCGUAGAUAUCAAGAGGAACACCUGCGGCGAAGGCGGGUUGCUGGGCCGACACUGACGCUNAUGCGCGAAAGCUAGGGGAGCGAACGGGAUUAGAUACCCCGGUAGUCCUAGCCUUAAACGAUGAAUGCUUGGUGUCUGGGGUUUAUAGUCCCCGGGUGCCGUCGCUAACGCUUUAAGCAUUCCGCCUGGGGAGUACGGUCGCAAGACUGAAACUCAAAGGAAUUGACGGGGACCCGCACAAGCGGUGGA